UACAGAGGUCUCAAGCGUUGUUCGGAUUAAUUGGGCGUAAAGGGUGCGUAGGAGGCGCGGUAAGUCGGGGGUGAAAUCUCGGAGCUUAACUCCGAAACUGCAUUCGAUACUGCCGUGCUUGAGGACUGGAGAGGAGACUGGAAUUUACGGUGUAGCGGUGAAAUGCGUAGAUAUCGUAAGGAAGACCAGUGGCGAAGGCGGGUCUCUGGACAGUUCCUGACGCUGAGGCACGAAGGUCAGGGGAGCAAACGGG
rnacentral:rRNA from 1 species